ensembl:lincRNA 2610016A17Rik RIKEN cDNA 2610016A17 gene
AGCGCUACUGCGCCGCCGGAGUCCACCGGCCAGCCUUCGCUGCAGCCGGGUCCCUGAUCCAGAAGCUAAACCUAAAAAUGUGGGCAGUGGUUGCGGCGGAGCAGUCGCCUUUUAUCUCGCCGACUAGAGAACAAGCUGAUUCUCGUACUCUUAUACAUCGCGUUGUUCUCGAGAAGGUAACUAAGGGGUAGAGAUCAGAAAGGUUAGCGUUGAUUUCUAUCGAUGAUAUCAUAAUCUCCGGUGUUUAACCAUCGACCGGCAGUUGGGCCGAGAGAAGAGGCCACUCUAAAGUGGGCACUCUGGCAUCCUUCUCUCCGCACGAACAAGUCCAUGUUUAUCUUGCUGAUCAGCGCCCAGUUGUCUUACAAAUAUCUGUAGUUUGUGGAUAACUCCGAAGUGCAAAGCAGUUCCUUACUUCCAUAGAGCUUGCGAGGCAGGUGGCAGCAACGACUAUAGCCCAUCUAGGGUUUACUGUUAUCAGUGGAUAGCACAGUCCAUUCUGGGAGCAAACAGAAAUAAACCACGCCAUUAGCAAUUUUAGAUACAAAAAAAAUAUUCAAUCUAAGCAAGCAUUUAUACAAAGACUUUUAAAACGUAGCAGCCUUUUAGCAUGUGUGAAUGAGUGAUUAUCAAGAAAACUAACUUUGUUCUCUCUCUCUCUCUCUCUCUCUCUCUCUCUAUCUCUCUCUCUCUCUCUCUCUCUCUCAAAAUACCCU